rnacentral:lncRNA from 13 species
ACCAGCUCGUCUCUGCCUCGCCUGCAAGUUGAGCGAAGUCAGAGACCUGGGACCACUUCAAGCUCCAGCUCAAAGGACCUAAAGCUUAAUAGAAAAACAAUUAAGGACAUCUGAAAGAGAAUGAGAAGAGCUGAAGAACAUCUAAACAUUAAGAGUCAUGAAGGGGUUCCUAUGAACAUUAUGUCAGAUUAUGCCUACAAAGUGCUCAGAUUUUUCUCAUUCCUGGUAGCCUGCACAUCCAGAACUAUGUCUAGCACACAGUUGGUACCUGGCGAACAUCUGCUGAGUGAAUGAACUUACAGAACCACCCAAUAAACAUU